rnacentral:rRNA from 1 species
CGGUGCCGCGUUCCGUAAGAAGGCCUUCGGGUUGUAAACUGCUUUCGUACGGAACGAAAAGGUCUUCUCUAAUACAGGGGGCGAAUGACGGUACCGUAAGAAUAAGCACCGGCUAACUACGUGCCAGCAGCCGCGGUAAUACGUAGGGUGCGAGCGUUAAUCGGAAUUACUGGGCGUAAAGCGUGCGCAGGCGGUUAUAUAAGACAGAUGUGAAAUCCCCGGGCUCAACCUGGGAACUGCAUUAGUGACUGUAUAGCUAGAGUGCGGCAGAGGGGGAUGGAAUUCCGCGUGUAGCAGUGAAAUGCGUAGAUAUGCGGAGGAACACCGAUGGCGAAGGCAAUCCCCUGGGCCUGUACUGACGCUCAUGCACGAAAGCGUGGGGAGCAAACAGGAUUAGAUACCCUGGUAGUCCACGCCCUAAACGAUGUCAACUGGUUGUUGGGUCUUCACUGACUCAGUAACGAAACUAACGCGUGAAGUUGACCGCCUGGGGAGUACGGCCGCAAGGUUAAAACUCAAA